UACGUAGGCAGCGAGCGUUGUUCGGAGUUACUGGGCGUAAAGAGUGCGUAGGCGGUGCUCUAAGUUUGGUGUGAAAUCUCCCGGCUUAACUGGGAGGGUGCGCCGAAAACUGGAGUGCUUGAGUGUGGGAGAGGUAAGCGGAAUUCCUGGUGUAGCGGUGAAAUGCGUAGAUAUCAGGAGGAACACCUGUGGUGUAGACAGCUUACUGGACCAUGACUGACGCUGAGGCACGAAAGCGUGGGGAGCAAACAGG
rnacentral:rRNA from 1 species